rnacentral:lncRNA from 1 species
AUACAUGCCAUUAUGAACAGUAGAGAAUACAUGAUGCCUGUUCUGGAAGAAUGGGCCUCAUAUUAGUCAACCAUAGAAGAGAACACAAAUUCCUGUUUUGGAUGUUACUGGGAAUGCCAGAAGAAUAUGACAUGCCUAUGUCACAUUCAGGAGCUUGGGGGCUCUAGGUUGGAGAAUUGAGACAAUUCCUGUCUGAUGAUGAAUCAGAUGAGUGAAGAAGAGGAUGUCUGUCGUCCUUAGCAGAAGAGGACUUUUGGGUAUACAGAGGCACCAGGGAUGCAUGCACAGAGGAAAGAC